GCCAGACUCCUACGGGAGGCAGCAGCGGGGGAUAUUGCACAAUGGGGGGAACCCUGAUGCAGCGACGCCGCGUGGGUGAAGGAGCGUUUCGGCGCGUAAAGCCCUAUCGGCAGGGAAGAAGGAGGACGGUACCUGACUAAGAAGCCCCGGCUAACUACGUGCCAGCAGCCGCGGUAAUACGUAGGGGGCAAGCGUUAUCCGGAUUUACUGGGUGUAAAGGGGGCGCAGACGGCAGCGCAAGCCAGGAGUGAAAGCCCGGGGCCCAACCCCGGGACUGCUCUUGGAACUGCGCGGCUGGAGUGCAGGAGGGGCAGGCGGAAUUCCUGGUGUAGCGGUGAAAUGCGUAGAUAUCAGGAGGAACACCGGUGGCGAAGGCGGCCUGCUGGACUGCGACUGACGUUGAGGCCCGAAAGCGUGGGGAGCAAACAGGAUUAGAUACCCCCGUACCA
rnacentral:rRNA from 1 species